rnacentral:rRNA from 1 species
UCGAACGAGAAGCCGUAGCAAUACGGUUGUAAAGUGGCGAACGGGUGAGUAACACGUGGGUAACCUACCCUCGAGUGGGGAAUAACCCGCCGAAAGGCGGGCUAAUGCCGCGUACGUUUCCAGAUCUGCGGAUUUGGAAAGAAAGCUGUACCUAGGGUAUGGCGCUCAAGGAUGGGCUCACGUCCUAUCAGCUUGUUGGUAGGGUAACGGCCUACCAAGGCAACGACGGGUAGCUGGUCUGAGAGGACGAUCAGCCACACUGGCACUGCGACACGGGCCAGACUCCUACGGGAGGCAGCAGUGAGGAAUAUUGCGCAAUGGGCGAAAGCCUGACGCAGCGACGCCGCGUGGGGGAUGAAGGUCUUCGGAUUGUAAACCCCUUUCGGGAGGAAAGAUGGUCGUAUACAAGUACGACGGACGGUACCUCCAGAAGCAGCCACGGCUAACUUCGUGCCAGCAGCCGCGGUAAUACGAAGGUGGCAAGCGUUGUUCGGAUUUACUGGGCGUACAGGGAGCGUAGGCGGUUAGGUAAGCCCCUCGGGAAAUCUCCAGGCUUAACCUGGAACGGUCGGGGGGGACUGCCUGGCUAGAGGACGGGAGAGGAGCGCGGAAUUCCCGGUGUAGCGGUGAAAUGCGUAGAGAUCGGGAGGAAGGCCGGUGGCGAAGGCGGCGCUCUGGAACGUUCCUGACGCUGAGGCUCGAAAGCGUGGGGAGCAAACAGGAUUAGAUACCCUGGUAGUCCACGCCCUAAACGAUGGACACUAAGUGUCGGCGGUUUACCGCCGGUGCCGCAGCUAACGCAGUAAGUGUCCCGCCUGGGGAUUACGGCCGCAAGGUUGAAACUCAAAGGAAUUGACGGGGGCCCGCACAAGCGGUGGAGCAUGUGGUUCA